UACGUAGGGUGCGAGCGUUGUCCGGAAUUAUUGGGCGUAAAGAGCUCGUAGGCGGUGUGUCACGUCGGCCGUGAAAACCUGCAGCUUAACUGUGGGCGUGCGGUCGAUACGGGCAUCACUGGAGUUCGGCAGGGGAGACUGGAAUUCCUGGUGUAGCGGUGAAAUGCGCAGAUAUCAGGAGGAACACCGGUGGCGAAGGCGGCGACCUGGGCCAAUACUGACGCUGAGGUGCGAAAGCGUGGGGAGCAAACAGG
rnacentral:rRNA from 1 species